rnacentral:rRNA from 1 species
UACGUAGGGGGCAAGCGUUGUCCGGAAUCAUUGGGCGUAAAGAGCGUGUAGGCGGCCCGAUAAGUCCGCCGUGAAAGUCCAGGGCUCAACCCUGGGAUGCCGGUGGAAACUGUCGGGCUAGAGUCCGGAAGAGGCGAGUGGAAUUCCUGGUGUAGCGGUGAAAUGCGCAGAUAUCAGGAGGAACACCAAUGGCGAAGGCAGCUCGCUGGGACGGUACUGACGCUGAGACGCGAAAGCGUGGGGGAGCAAACAGGG